rnacentral:rRNA from 1 species
CGGCCUAUACAUGCAAGUCGAGGGUGAUUAUCGGAUUCGUCUGAUAUGAAACCGGCGCACCGUUGCGUAACACGUAUGCAACCUACCUUUAACUGGGGUAUAGCUCAGAGAAAUCUGAAUUAAUCCCCCAUAACACUACGACAUGGCAUCAUGAUGUAGUUAAAGCUCCGGCGGUUAAGGAUGGGCAUGCGGUACAUUAGCUAGUUGGUGAGGUAAUGGCUCACCAAGGCUACGAUGUAUAGGGGGUCUGAGAGGAUGAUCCCCCACACUGGUACUGAGACACGGACCAGACUCCUACGGGAGGCAGCAGUAGGGAAUAUUGGUCAAUGGACGAAAGUCUGAACCAGCCAUGCCGCGUGAAGGAUGAAGGCCCUCUGGGUCGUAAACUUCUUUUAUUAGGGAAGAAACCUCAGGAUGCGUCCUGAGCUGACGGUACUUAAUGAAUAAGGAUCGGCUAACUUCGUGCCAGCAGCCGCGGUAAGACGAAGGAUCCAAGCGUUGUCCGGAUUUACUGGGUUUAAAGGGUGCGUAGGCGGAAAAUUAAGUCAGUGGUGAAAGCCCGCAGCUCAACUGUGGAACUGCCAUUGAAACUGGUUUUCUUGAAUAUAGCUGAGGCAGAUGGAAUAUAACAUGUAGCGGUGAAAUGCUUAGAUAUGUUAUAGAACACCGAUUGCGAAGGCAGUCUGCUAAACUAUUAUUGACGCUGAGGCACGAAAGCGUGGGGAGCGAACAGGAUUAGAUACCCUGGUAGUCCACGCCCUAAACGUUGAUUACUCGCUGUUGGCGAUAUACUGUCAGUGGCUAAGCGAAAGCAUUAAGUAAUCCACCUGGGAAGUACGACCGUAAGGUUGAAACUCAAAGGAAUUGACGGGGGCCCGCACAAGCGGAGGAGCAUGUGGUUUAAUUCGAUGAUACGCGAGAAACCUUACCUGGGCUUAAAUGUC